rnacentral:rRNA from 1 species
UACGGAGGGUGCGAGCGUUGUUCGGAAUCACUGGGCGUAAAGCGCGUGUAGGCGGCCUGCUAAGUCUGAUGUGAAAGCCCGGGGCUCACCCCCGGAAGUGCAUUGGAAACUAGCGGGCUGGAGUCUCGGAGAGGAAGGUGGAAUGCUUGGUGUAGAGGUGAAAUUCGUAGAUAUCAAGCAGAACACCUGCGGCGAAGGCGGCCUUCUGGACGAUGACUGACGCUGAGACGCGAAAGCGUGGGGAGCAAACAGG